CCGGGGAGGGUCAUUGGAAACUGGGGAACUUGAGUGCAGAAGAGGAGAGUGGAAUUCCACGUGUAGCGGUGAAAUGCGUAGAGAUGUGGAGGAACACCAGUGGCGAAGGCGACUCUCUGGUCUGUAACUGACGCUGAGGAGCGAAAGCGUGGGGAGCGAACAGGAUUAGAUACCCUGGUAGUCCACGCCGUAAACGAUGAGUGCUAAGUGUUAGGGGGUUUCCGCCCCUUAGUGCUGCAGCUAACGCAUUAAGCACUCCGCCUGGGGAGUACGGUCGCAAGACUGAAACUCAAAGGAAUUGACGGGGGCCCGCACAAGCGGUGGAGCAUGUGGUUUAAUUCGAAGCAACGCGAAGAACCUUACCAGGUCUUGACAUCCU
rnacentral:rRNA from 2 species